rnacentral:rRNA from 1 species
AGUGAACGCUGGCGGUAGGCCUAACACAUGCGAGUCGAACGGCAGCACAGUAAGAGCUUGCUCUUACGGGUGGCGAGUGGCGGACGGGUGAGGAAUACAUCGGAAUCUACUUUUUCGUGGGGGAUAACGUAGGGAAACUUACGCUAAUACCGCAUACGACCUACGGGUGAAAGCAGGGGAUCUUCGGACCUUGCGCGAUUGAAUGAGCCGAUGUCGGAUUAGCUAGUUGGCGGGGUAAAGGCCCACCAAGGCGACGAUCCGUAGCUGGUCUGAGAGGAUGAUCAGCCACACUGGAACUGAGACACGGUCCAGACUCCUACGGGAGGCAGCAGUGGGGAAUAUUGGACAAUGGGCGCAAGCCUGAUCCAGCCAUACCGCGUGGGUGAAGAAGGCCUUCGGGUUGUAAAGACCUUUUGUUGGGAAAGAAAAGCAGCAGGUUAAUACCCCGCUGUUCUGACGGUACCCAAAGAAUAAGCACCGGCUAACUUCGUG